GACGAACGCUGGCGGCGUGCUUAACACAUGCAAGUCGAACGGAAAGGCCCUGCUUUUGUGGGGUGCUCGAGUGGCGAACGGGUGAGUAACACGUGAGUAACCUGCCCUUGACUUUGGGAUAACUUCAGGAAACUGGGGCUAAUACCGGAUAGGAGCUACUGCUGCAUGGUGGGGGUUGGAAAGUUUCGGCGGUUGGGGUUGUACUCGCGGCUUAUCAGCUUGUUGGUGGGGUAGUGGCUGACCAAGGCUUUGACGGGUAGCCGGCCUGGAAGGGUGACCGGCCACAUUGGCACGGAGAUACGGCCCGUACUCAUUCGGGCGCAGCAGUGGAGAAUAUUGCACAGUGGGCGGAAGCCUGAUGCAGCAACGCCGCGUGCGGGAUGACGGCCUUCGGGUUGUAAACCGCUUUCGCCUGUGACGAAGCGUGAGUGACGGUAAUGGGUAAAGAAGCACCGGCUAACUACGUG
rnacentral:rRNA from 1 species